rnacentral:rRNA from 1 species
UACGUAGGGCGCAAGCGUUGUCCGGAAUUAUUGGGCGUAAAGAGCUCGUAGGCGGCUUGUCACGUCGGGUGUGAAAGCCCGGGGCUUAACCCCGGGUCUGCAUUCGAUACGGGCUAGCUAGAGUGUGGUAGGGGAGAUCGGAAUUCCUGGUGUAGCGGUGAAAUGCGCAGAUAUCAGGAGGAACACCGGUGGCGAAGGCGGGUCUCUGGACAGUAACUGACGCUGAGGAGCGAAAGCGUGGGGAGCAAACAGG